GAUAAACGCUGGCGGCAUGCUUUACACAUGCAAGUCGAACGGCAGCACGGGCUUCGGCCUGGUGGCGAGUGGCGAACGGGUGAGUAAUACAUCGGAACGUACCCAGUAGUGGGGGAUAGCCCGGCGAAAGCCGGAUUAAUACCGCAUAUGCCCUGAGGGGGAAAGCGGGGGACCGAAAGGCCUCGCGCUAUUGGAGCGGCCGAUGGCUGAUUAGCUAGUUGGUGGGGUAAAGGCCUACCAAGGCGACGAUCAGUAGCUGGUCUGAGAGGACGACCAGCGAAACUGGGACUGGUACACGGCCCAGACUCCUACGGGAGGCAGCAGUGGGGAAUUUUGGACAAUGGGCGAAAGCCUGAUCCAGCAAUGCCGCGUGUGCGAAGAAGGCCUUCGGGUUGUAAAGCACUUUUGUUUGGAAAGAAAAGGUUUGGGUUAAUACCCUGGACUGAUGACGGUACCAAUCGAAUAAGCACCGGCUAACUACGUGCCAGCAGCCGCAGUAA
rnacentral:rRNA from 1 species